GACGAAGCCGUGCGAACGUUAUUCGGAAUCACUGGGCUUAAAGCGCGAUGUAGGCGGGACGGCACGUCGGUCGCUGAAAGCCCCGGCUCAACCGGGGAACGGGCGCCGAUACGACCGCCCUCGAGGAACGUAGGGGGACCUGGAACUUCCGGUGGAGCGGUGAAAUGCGUUGAGAUCGGAAGGAACGCCCGUGGCGAAAGCGAGGUCCUGGACGUUUACUGACGCUGAGACGACGAAAGCCAGGGGAGCGAACGGGAUUAGA
rnacentral:rRNA from 1 species